AACCCAAAAGAAGGCCAAUCUGAUCAAAGGGCAAUGGACAGCUGAAGAAGACAGAAUUUUAGUGCACUUGGUGGGGGAGUAUGGGUUGAAAAACUGGUCUCAAAUUGCAAAAAAAUUGGAAGGAAGAAUAGGAAAACAGUGCAGGGAAAGAUGGCACAACCAUUUGAGGCCGGACAUCACGAAAGCUGAAUGGACUGAGGAGGAGGACAAGAUUUUAAUUAAGGCCCAUACAGAAUUAGGAAAUAAAUGGGCAGAAAUGGCAAAGAUGAUGAAUGGGAGGAGUGCAAAUUC